rfam:Kordiimonas lacus strain CGMCC 1.9109 genome assembly, contig: Ga0070197_105
GGCCUUUAAAUCGCCCCAGGAAUUGCUUAUAUCAAGGGUGCUGCUUCGGCAGCUAUGGCGAUAAACGGUGCAUUGAGUAGCUAUUGCGGACCCGGGGGCAGUACCCGGCGCCUCCACCAGGAACGGCCUGAUUACCUGGAUAAUCAAGGCCUACGGUCACCAGACCGUUGCUGAUGGGGGCGAACCAGGAUCGACGUGUAUCGAAAGAUGUUGCUCUUCGCCCGGGAUGGCACCGCCGUGAUGGGCCACCUUAAAUAAAUGCUAACGACAACAACGUCGAGUAUGCUGUUGCUGCGUAAGCAGUCAUAGCUACUACAUUUAUAAAUUCCUGAUGGUUGACGCCAUCAGGUGGGGGUUGGGCCACCUAGCAACAGAACGGCCCACU